rnacentral:siRNA from 1 species
UGGAAAAGUGCCUCAUCCCUGACA